rnacentral:rRNA from 1 species
CGAACGGGUGAGUAACACGUGGGUGACCUGCCCUCAGCUCUGGGAUAAGCCUGGGAAACUGGGUCUAAUACCGGAUAUGACCUUCUGUCGCAUGGCAGUGGGUGGAAAGUUUUUCGGCUGGGGAUGGGCCCGCGGCCUAUCAGCUUGUUGGUGGGGUGAUGGCUUACCAAGGCGACGACGGGUAGCCGGCCUGAGAGGGCGAUCGGCCACACUGGGACUGAGACACGGCCCAG